rnacentral:snRNA from 14 species
AUCUUUGCGCUUGGGGCAAUGACGCAGCUAGUGAGGUUAUAACCGAGGCGCGUCAAUUGCCGGUUGAAAACUAUUUCCAAACCCCCUCUUUGGUCUGGGUCUCUCCCUGCCAUUGAGAAUUUCUGGAAGUUCUCCCUUCGGGGUAAAAGCCUAAAACUUAGUUCAAAACUUGUUUUGUUAUCAAUGUAGAA